GCCAAACGCCCCGGGACACCAUGCCGGCAUUGUGAGCAGACUAAUCGCCACAUACCACUCGGUUUUCCUUCCUGGACUGCGUCACAGGCCCGGAGCCCUGCGGUUCCCACAUUGUUUCUGUCAUCAUCCCAAGAAGCAUAACUCUUGAUGCCGCGUCUGAGCGGGACAGCCUGUCUCAGCACGAGCUCGGACUCUUAUGUAAGUGGCUGUGGGGAGAACUGGCAGUAAACAAACAUUUUUCCAGCCAUUGUUUUCUUUGCCGUCUUGAAAUUUUUUUUUUUUUUCCUCUGGGGCCACUGCAGCUCUUCUGCCCCCAGGAUGGCAGAUUCCCAGCUUAGAAAUGUCUUGCGCGGCAUUUCCAGAUUCUAAAAUCAGAACGGAGUGAACCACAGCGUGCAAUGAAAUGCCUGAGCAUGGGAACAUGUAGAUGGCUUUGUCUGCAAGGGUAUUUGAAGCAGCGUGUCAGCAAGCUUGUCCACUCAACUGUGCUGCUGAUAGCUGUUUGGAGGUGGUAUAAUCAUAUCCAUUUGUAACAGAGAAAAUGGUGGCUUGGAGGUACCCUGUAAUUUUCACAGCAAGGGAGUUCACAGGAAAACCAGACUGUGCUUCGUUUUGCUCUGUUAGUUGCUCAGUCGUGUCCAACUCUUUGUGACCCCAUGGACUGUAACCUAUGGGAUGGUAAGUGCAGUCGAUGUGCAGCUGGGGAGCUGGUUCCCUUUCAUGGAUCCUUUGCAAACAGCUCUGGGUAGUAUGGAAGGCUGAGGGUGGGCGGCAUGGUACUCCACUUGAAGUUCAAAUUCUGGUAUAAGUUGUCCCACCCAAGUCAAAGAAUGGUUGGCAACCAGUUGAGUAACUGUGGCCAGAGCAAGGUAGGAAGGAAGGAUGUGGGUUUCUAGAGAGCACAUUCCAUUUACACCACACCAGGACUGCACUUGGGGUCCUCCAGCCCCCAACCCGUGUCCUCGGCCUUUGGAGCUAUGGACCCUGGAAGACCAGGGUCCCCUCUCAGGACCUGUCAGCAUUUUUCCUGAGAAGAAGCCAUGGUCAGAGUCUCCUUGAGCAUCGGUCAUGCUUUUGUUGUUACAGCAACGGCAAAGGGGCAGGAGGACGCCUCUGGGACUUGAUCUAUAACUGGUCAUGACAACCCAGCCCCUUCAUUUCCCUCAAAAGCAUAAUUGUCAAGAGUCUGAAUUGUUGGAGAUUAUUUUUAGGAGAGAUGAUGGGAGUCAGGGAUUGAUAGAUGGGGAUAGUGUCAGACACACUCUGAUCAUUUCUUCACCUCUUUUCCUACUUUUUUUCUACAUGUGUGUGUGUAUC